rnacentral:rRNA from 1 species
UACGAAGGACCCAAGCGUUAUCCGGAUUUAUUGGGUUAAAGGGUGCGUAGGCGGGUUAUUAAGUCAGUGGUGAAAGCUCCUAGCUCAACUGGGAAAUUGCCAUUGAUACUGAUGAUCUUGAGUAUGAUUGAGGUGGCGGAAUGUGUCAUGUAGCGGUGAAAUGCUUAGAUAUGACACAGAACACCGAUUGCGAAGGCAGCUCACUGGACUGGUACUGACGCUGAGGCGCGAAAGCGUGGGAGCAAACAGG